GAUGAACGCUGGCGGCGUGCCUAAUACAUGCAAGUCGAGCGAAGCGGGGACGGGUGAGUAACACGUGGAGAAACUCCUCUAAGACGGGGGUAACUUAGGGAAACCGGAGCUAAACCGGAUAAUUAUAGCUGGAUCCGGGCUGCAUUAGCUAGGUGGUAAGGUAACGGCGUACCAAGGCAACGAUGCAUAGCCGACCUGAGAGGGUGAUCGGCCACACUGGAACUGAGACACGGUCCAGACUCCUACGGGAGGCAGCAGUAGGGAAUCUUCCGCAAUGGGCGAAAGCCUGACGGAGCAACGCCGCGUGAGUGAUGAAGGUCUUCGGAUCGUAAAACUCUGUUAUUAGGGAAGCGGUACCUAAUCAGAAAGCCACGACUAACUACGUGCCAGCAGCCGCGGUAAUAC
rnacentral:rRNA from 1 species